AAAGGGCAUUCCGUAGCUAGCGGCGAGUGAGCGGGAAGAGCUCAAUUUGAAAUCUGGUGGCCUCAGGUCAUCCGAGUUGUAAUCUAUAGAAGUGUUUUCCGUGCUGGCUCAUGUACAAGUCCCUUGGAACAGGGCGUCAUAGAGGGUGAGAAUCCCGUCCUUGACAUGAACUACCAGUGCUCUGUGAUACAUUUUCAACGAGUCGAGUUGUUUGGGAAUGCAGCUCAAAAUGGGUGGUAAAUUCCAUCUAAAGCUAAAUAUUGGCGAGAGACCGAUAGCGAACAAGUACCGUGAGGGAAAGAUGAAAAGCACUUUGGAAAGAGAGUUAAACAGUAUGUGAAAUUGUUGAAAGGGAAACGAUUGAAGUCAGUCGUGCUCUUUGGAUUCAGCCGGUUCUGCCGGUGUACUUCCUUUGAGUGGGGUCAACAUCAGUUUUGAUCGCUGGAUAAAGGCUGGAGGAAUGUAGUACCCUCGGGUAAACUUAUAGCCUCCUGUCACAUACAGUGGUUGGGACUGAGGAACGCAGCACGCCUUUAUGGCCGGGAUUCGUCCACGUACGUGCUUAGGAUGUUGACAUAAUGGCUUUAAAC
rnacentral:rRNA from 1 species